AGAGGGUGCACUAACAUUUUUAUC
rnacentral:siRNA from 1 species